GGAAGGAAAUGGAGGCAUCAGCCUUGGACUCUGAUGGGCGCUUCAUGGGGCAGGCAGGGGACGGAGUCUCAGAAGAAAGCGGAACUAGAAUGCAGGAAGCGGGGCCCUGGAGGCAGAGAGCAACUCUAGUACCAGAAAGGGAUGCUGCGUGGACCUGGAGGCAACUUGACAGAGAAGGUACUUUGCAGAAAAUGCCUUUGAUGUGGAAGACGCCUGCAUUGUGUUUCUUUGUGUUGAAGAAGACUAUCCUCCAAGACACGCCCUUCUGGAGUUCAGUUGGAGUUGCUGCAGAUGAUCACCAUAGCUGGCCUUGUUAGCAUUCCAUCCUGGAAGGAGGGGCUAGCGAGGGCCAUGGGACCUUUACCUCAGUAUCCAGCUACCGCUCUCUACUAAUUGUGUGAAAUUCUGCCCUGAUUUCACUUGGUCUCUGGGAAGAUCUAGAGUAUAUAGUCUGUAUAUAGAGUAUAUAGUACAUAGUUUGGAAAGGAGUAGGGGAUGGGGCUUCAUCUAUCCAGUCUUAAUGUAUAAAGUCAUAAUCACCUAUAUAGUCAUAACUUUAUAUAGUCACACUUUACAGUAUGGUUGCUUUAAGGCCAUCUUUUCUCCUGCCUGUAGCCCCUCGUCCAUUGCUCUAUAAGUAGCCUAAUAAUAUCAUUGGUUCCCCAGAAUAAACUGGUGCAAUUGCA